CAAUCCUGAAGAUGCUUCUUCAGUGCAGGAUGCAGCUCUCUGAGAUCAUAGAAGAUAUUUCAAGCCAUCACCCUGAGUCAGAGGGGGAAGAGCUGUGUUUUCCAGCCUGGAAAAUGGACACGCUGCGGUUUCCACCUGGAUGGAGCCGACUCCGCACCUGGCUGGAGCAGCAGCAAACGGCUCCUGCUGCUUUGAAGAUCAGAGCCGUAAGGAGACAGGGAUUUACGGCUGCCAACAGGAGAGAUAACAGGUGCGUUGGGGGAGCAGGCUUCUCUCCGUCGUGCCGGUGCCGGGGGAGGACCUCAUCCAGCGCGGGGCUGAGCUUUGGACAUCAGGAUGCUCGAGCCGUGCCCAGCUGCGGGAAGAAGCCGGCGGGGGGGGACCCCAGCGAUGGCACAGGUGUCCCAGCAGCUCCCCCUGCACCGCCGACCGACUCUCUCAUCGCUCCAGAAAUAGUCCCACCUCUGGCACGGGCUCAGGAAUCAAACAUAUUUUGCUGUUAUUUUUAACGGUGGGGGGGGAAGCGCAGCCCCGGGGACCUGCACCAGGGCCACCCCCUCCACCCCCGCCCCCCCCCGGCCAAAAAGAGACCAAAAAUGGCAUUGCUCCCUCGGAGAACAGCCGGGACCUGGCAGGGAUGCUGAGCCUUCCCGGA